UUUUGGACAAUGGGGGCAACCCUGAUCCAGCAAUGCCGCGUGCAGGAAGAAGGCCUUCGGGUUGUAAACUGCUUUUGUCAGGGAAGAAAUCCUGUGGGUUAAUACCUCGUGGGGAUGACGGUACCUGAAGAAUAAGCACCGGCUAACUACGUGCCAGCAGCCGCGGUAAUACGUAGGGUGCGAGCGUUAAUCGGAAUUACUGGGCGUAAAGCGUGCGCAGGCGGUUUUGUAAGACAGAGGUGAAAUCCCCGGGCUCAACCUGGGAACUGCCUUUGUGACUGCAAGGCUGGAGUACGGCAGAGGGGGAUGGAAUUCCGCGUGUAGCAGUGAAAUGCGUAGAUAUGCGGAGGAACACCGAUGGCGAAGGCAAUCCCCUGGGCCUGUACUGACGCUCAUGCACGAA
rnacentral:rRNA from 1 species